rnacentral:rRNA from 1 species
GAUGAACGCUGGCGGCGUGCCUAAUACAUGCAAGUCGAGCGAACAGAUAAGGAGCUUGCUCCUUUGAAGUUAGCGGCGGACGGGUGAGUAACACGUGGGUAACCUACCUAUAAGACUGGGAUAACUUCGGGAAACCGGAGAUAAUACCGGAUAACAUUUAGAACCGCAUGGUUCUAAAGUGAAAGAUGGUUUUGCUAUCACUUAUAGAUGGACCCGCGCCGUAUUAGCUAGUUGGUAAGGUAACGGCUUACCAAGGCGACGAUACGUAGCCGACCUGAGAGGGUGAUCGGCCACACUGGAACUGAGACACGGUCCAGACUCCUACGGGAGGCAGCAGUAGGGAAUCUUCCGCAAUGGGCGAAAGCCUGACGGAGCAACGCCGCGUGAGUGAUGAAGGGUUUCGGCUCGUAAAGCUCUGUUAUUAGGGAAGAACAAAUGUGUAAGUAACUGUGCACAUCUUGACGGUACCUAAUCAGAAAGCCACGGCUAACUACGUG